GUGCUCUCUUCGGCAGCACAAAUGCUAAAAUUGGAAAGAUACAGAGAAGAUUCGCAUGGUACCUCCUCAAGGAUGAAAAAUCAAUAAUUAUUAACUUUGGAU